rnacentral:rRNA from 1 species
GUCUACGGCCACACCUAGGCGAAAACACCAGUUCCCGUCCGAUCACUGCAGUUAAGCGUCUGAGGGUCUCGUUAGUACUAUGGUUGGAGACAACAUGGGAAUCCGGGAUGCCGUAGGCU